UACAGAGGUCUCAAGCGUUGUUCGGAUUCAUUGGGCGUAAAGGGUGCGUAGGUGGCGCCGAUAAGUCGGGUGUGAAAUUCGAUCGGGCUUAACUCCGAAACUGCAUUCGAUACUGCGGUGCUUGAGGACUGGAGAGGAGACUGGAAUUCAUGGUGUAGCAGUGAAAUGCGUAGAGAUCAUGAGGAAGACCAGUGGCGAAGGCGGGUCUCUGGACAGUUCCUGACAGCUGAGACACGAAGGCCAGGGGAGCAAACGGG
rnacentral:rRNA from 1 species